UAUGACCAAGUUAUUCGGGUUACUUCAUAACAGCACGAUUGAUCCAAUGUGACAACAAAUCGAUGAUAUGUGAAUGGAAUCCGCCGGAUGAUAAAGGUAGUCGCGUGAAAUUCAUGUCAGCUUGCGUGUGUAACUGCAUGCGACAUUUAUUAUAUCAAAAUUGAAACAGGCAAGUCGGAGCACUAGAGCACUGUCACAUUCACCCUUGAACGAAAGCUCCAGCCGUUCGGAACCAUUCGGCAGCGGUUUUCUCGAAUGUCAACCUGAAGGAAGUAAAUCAUAUGUGCUCACUUAAUGCCGGAACGUAUCAGGACAGUUCGGCUCUUGGAACCGAAUAUUCAGUUAUGCUUGGUACAAUUAAUGAAAUUCAAAAGCUGCACAUUCGAACGGUACAAAUAGGAACAGGAAGCUUCUCAAUAGUUUGGUGUUAUAACGGUGCGAAUGGAUCUUCAGGACUCGAGUGGUCUGACUCCUUCGAGCAGUGCCGAGUUUGGUCAAGAAGUUAAAAUUCACAAUCUACUUUUUUUUUAUCUCAUUUAUUUAUUUAUUAGGCUCAUUAGCAUUAUAGCUGAACAGAGCCAGGUUUUAAUCGUGUACAUGUACAUAUGUUUAUGUUUCUAUAAAUUGUAAAUUACACAGUAGUUAGUAGUAGCCAUUUAGGCGUUAAGUAUUCUGUUCCAUUACAUUAUGGUAAAUCACACAGUAGUAACCAUUUAGGCGUAAGGGUUUCUGUUCUUCCAUUGUUCAGCAGACCGGACAGCGGAGACAGUUGAUAUUGAUCAUUGUUGAGUUAUUUAUAGAACAGCAGCCCGAUGUGUCUUGCAGAGCAGAGCAUUGUAUGGAUGAAUCGAUCUCAUUUCGACCGUGGAUCGAUUUCCAUCGCUGAUGAUGGUUGCGUGGACGUAGUUAUUCUAUAACAACACAAAGAUGGUCAAUUGAGGGCCCUGAGUUUGAACUCACGAUCGAUCGCUUGGUAAGCGAACGCGUAACCAAGUGGCUACGAAGACCCCCUACACACACACACAAUCUACUUAUCAGAAUCAGAAUACGUUCGAGUUGCUACAUGCACAUCAAUUCAUGCAAACGGAGUAUACUAUGUCACUGAUUCCGGCGAAAUUGGGCAACGACUCGAAAACUUAUUGCAUCGUCGGCACAGCACUGAUACAUCAAGCGGAACCGGAACCCAAAAUAGGAAGGAUUAUCAUCUAUCACUACGAGGAUGGAGCCCUAACUCAAGUUAGCGAGAAGGGAAUCAAGGGCGCGUGCUAUUCUCUCAUUGAGUUUAACGGCCGUGUAUUGGCCAGCAUCAAUUCAACUGUACGAUUGUAUGAGUGGACUGAUGAUAAGGAUUUGCGACUUGAAUGUAACCAUUUCAAUAACGUGUUGACAUUAUAUUGUAAAACCAAGGGAGACUUCAUUUUGGUGGAUGAUUUGAUGCGAUCUGUUACGCUGGAGGUAAUUUUGAGGAGAUCGCUCGCGACUAUUAACCAAAUUGGAUGACAGCAGAGUGGAUAACAGAACAAUCUAUUUGUUUGCCUAAAAGAUGGAUAAGUAGGGUUUCCGUAGCUCUGUUUAUCAUACGAAUUUUUGUAUUUAUUUGAAGGGCCGCAACAACGGACGACGAACGACAGCAAAUGCCAGAGGUUGCUCAAUUCCAUCUCGUUAAUAUGAUGAAUAUAUUCCGCCACGGUUCGCUCGUGAUGGAAAACAUUGGUGAGCGUACGACGCCGACAACGGGCUGUUUGUUAUUUUGGUCAGCUAUCGGUCUGGUCACACAAAUAUCACCUGUUUAUGAAUUAUGAAUUUCUUCGAAAGUUACAAGAAAGUUUGAUUGACACUAUCAAAUCUGUUGGCAAGAUUGAUUAUUCGUAUUGGCAUAGUUAUCAUACCGAAAUGGAAACGGAACGUUGCGGGGAAUUUAUUGAUGGAGACUUUAUAGAAGGUUUUUUAGAUUUAAGUCGGGAAAAAUGUACGAUGUAUUGGGAUUGCAGAUCGACGUGGAUAGAACUAAGAAGGGGUGGCCGAAGAUGGUAUAAUCAAUAUUGUAGAAGACCUAACAAGAAUACAUUAGGAUGUCCAGUGUUGAUCAAUAUUAUUCAAUCGAUGCUAUCAGUUGUUUUCUGACACAAAUGCUGCGAAACCGAGAUAUUACACAUUUUUCUAAAAAACUUUAUUAAUAAUUCAACUCAUUAAGAGAUAGCUGGACGGACAAUAGAACCAGAUCGAGCUAAGCUCGUGAAUUUCAGCAUUCCUCGCGAAGAAUUAUUUCAUGUUUGUUGGAUAACAAAGAGACACCAGUGAAUGUACAAAGUUCGUACAACAUCUCGUUAUUUUGAUUCGAAUAGUCAUGCACGGCGUAUUUCUCAAAACUAUUUAAGAGUUUUAUCAAAACUUUAUUACUUUUUGAAUAUGAAACAUAGAAUAUUCAGGUGUAACGCGGUAUGCGUAGGGGGAUGUUAGUGUUGGUGCUGUAAUUGGAGUAUUGAAAGAUGUUAUGAGAUACAAUUUGAAUGAAAUAGAGUGGUAUACCUAUCAGGUUGGAUA